rnacentral:sRNA from 1 species
UUGAUAGCCCUGAAGACCUUAGUUUCUCCAAUCAAGAGGUUCAGAACAGGGAGUAGUAGUAUUCAAGAUUAUCCACACUGCCCUGCCAUUGUGCCUCAAACCUGACCUCCCAGAGUAUGUCUACACUGCAAUUAAACACCUGAGGAUGAU